rnacentral:rRNA from 1 species
UGGGGAAUAUUGGACAAUGGGCGCAAGCCUGAUCCAGCAAUGCCGCGUGGGUGAAGACGGCCUGCGGGUUGUAAAGCCCUUUAGGCGGGGAGGAACGACGGGACGCGAAUACCGUUUCGAAGUGACGUUACCCGCAGAAUAAGCACCGGCUAACUCCGUGCCAGCAGCCGCGGUAAUACGGAGGGUGCGAGCGUUAAUCGGAAUUACUGGGCGUAAAGCGUGCGUAGGCGGUGGGGUCAGUCAGCCGUGAAAGCCCUGGGCUUAACCUGGGAACGGCGGUUGAGACGGCCCGACUUGAGUGGGCUAGAGGAUCGUGGAAUUCCGGGUGUAGCGGUGAAAUGCGUAGAGAUCCGGAGGAACACCGAUGGCGAAGGCAGCGGUCUGGGGCCACACUGACGCU